rnacentral:rRNA from 1 species
GACGAACGCUGGCGGCGUGCCUAAUACAUGCAAGUCGAACGAGAGCGACCGGUGCUUGCACUGGUCAAUCUAGUGGCGAACGGGUGAGUAACACGUGGGUAACCUGCCCAUCAGAGGGGGAUAACAUUCGGAAACGGAUGCUAAAACCGCAUAGGUUCUUAAGUCGCAUGACUCGAGAAGGAAAAGAGGCUUCGGCUUCUGCUGAUGGAUGGACCCGCGGUGCAUUAGCUAGUUGGUGAGGUAACGGCUCACCAAGGCCGUGAUGCAUAGCCGACCUGAGAGGGUGAUCGGCCACAUUGGGACUGAGACACGGCCCAAACUCCUACGGGAGGCAGCAGUAGGGAAUCUUCCGCAAUGGACGCAAGUCUGACGGAGCAACGCCGCGUGAGUGAAGAAGGAUUUCGGUUCGUAAAACUCUGUUGUUAGAGAAGAACAGCGCAUAGAGUAACUGUUAUGCGUGAGACGGUAUCUAACCAUGA